rnacentral:rRNA from 1 species
GGGGACCUACGGGGCGCAGCAGUAGGGAAUCUUCCACAAUGGGCGAAAGCCUGAUGGAGCAACGCCGCGUGGGUGAAGAAGGUCUUCGGAUCGUAAAACCCUGUUGUUAGAGAAGAAAGUGCGUGAGAGUAACUGUUCACGUUUCGACGGUAUCUAACCAGAAAGCCACGGCUAACUACGUGCCAGCAGCCGCGGUAAUACGUAGGUGGCAAGCGUUAUCCGGAUUUAUUGGGCGUAAAGGGAACGCAGGCGGUCUUUUAAGUCUUGUGUUAAAGCCUU